rnacentral:rRNA from 1 species
GACGAACGCUGGCGGCGUGCUUAACACAUGCAAGUCGAACGGAAAGGCCCUGCGUUUGUGGGGUGCUCGAGUGGCGAACGGGUGAGUAACACGAGCGUAACCCGCCCCUGACUUUGGGAUAACUUCAGGAAACUGGGGCUAAUACCGGAUAGGAGCCCCUGCUGCAUGGUGGGGGUUGGAAAGUUUCGGCGGUUGGGGAUGGACUCGCGGCUUAUCAGCUUGUUGGUGGGGUAGUGGCUUACCAAGGCCUUGACGGGUAGCCGGCCUGAGAGGGUGACCGGCCACAUUGGGACUGAGAUACGGCCCAGACUCCUACGGGAGGCAGCAGUGGGGAAUAUUGCACAAUGGGCGGAAGCCUGAUGCAGCAACGCCGCGUGCGGGAUGACGGCCUUCGGGUUGUAAACCGCUUUCGCCUGUGACGAAGCGUGAGUGACGGUAAUGGGUAAAGAAGCACCGGCUAACUACGUG